UCCGUUGGCCUUCGUACCCGUCUUGAGUG
rnacentral:piRNA from 1 species